CUUAUUCUUAAGCUGCUGAAGGCCUGUAGCCUUAUCCACAGUCAAAGAUAUGUUGAGCAUCAUAGAGUCCUUCCUCUAAAGACCACAAAGUAUUGAUAUGGUGAUGAGAUAAUUUUGAUCCUUGAACUCUUUCCUUCAUACUCUGAACAUGGGCCAAAUAAAAAAUAGAUGCCCACAUUACAAUGGAAUAAAUAAUAUUUGUAUAUUUGCUUGGCUUAAGUUCCAUGUCAUAAAUCAAAUGAAAAUUAUACCUCACAAUACAAAAUUUAUUAGAUUGGAGUUCUUCUUAGAAAUUUGUCACCUCUUUCGUUUUAACAAAAGGAAAAAUGUCACCACAUUUCACGCCUAUAUUCCUUCCCCUUGGUUUCACUAAAAAAUCAGAAAGGCAUCUUUAUGUGUUCCAUAGGUGAAUGAACACCUCUGAAUUUGGUUAUUACUAGAUUUCAAGUAAAUACUGUUGAACUUAACCUUCAUUAGCUUCAAUAAAGAGUUACUUCCAAUAUUUUAGUUUCAGAUUAAUUGGAUCUCUGCUUGUCUUUUAGUUUCAAGUGGAUUUUUUACAUUGAAUGAUUCCCUUCUACAAUACUAGCACUCUUGAUUUUUAUCCUGUCACUUGACUAUAACAUAGACUUCAUAUCCCAGCAUAUCUUGCAGCCAUUUUUGGUCAGAUGACUAAGUGUUGACCAAAGACAUGUGAAGGAACUAUGUGCCACUUCUAAAGUGUGUUCUUAAAGAGAACCCACAUACCCUUCUGUCCCUCAGUCAUGGUACUUCUAUUCUGCUACUUAUAAAUUGGAUGUAGUAGCUUAUCAUCUUGAACUGUAGGGAUUACUUCAAUACCCCUGACAUUGUGGAACCCAGGUUCUUUGAUAUAGAGUAAUCUGCCUGCUAAACAUCUGUAUGAUUAAGAAAUAAACUUUUAUUUUAUGUAAGCAACUAAUAACUUGUGUUUCUGUCAUACAAAUCUAAGGUGAUUUGAUAUAUGGUAUAUUUUACUUCUAUGCUACUUAAUAUUUCUUUUUAGAAAAAUUAAGCAAGAGGAAAUCAUAAUAAGCCAAGAUCUUAAACAAAGAAAAUUUCCAAGUGAAAAUGCAUUGUGUCACUCUUCCAAAUCAAAUAAAAUGAGUUUGGCAAAAGUUUUAAAUUUUAACAAUUUAUUUAGAUGUCUUCCCUCGUGCAUAUAAUGUUAUAAUUCUC
rnacentral:lncRNA from 1 species